rnacentral:rRNA from 1 species
UACGUAGGGGGCAAGCGUUAUCCGGAUUUACUGGGUGUAAAGGGAGCGUAGACGGCAGUGCAAGUCUGAAGUGAAAGGCAAGGGCUCAACCCUUGGACUGCUUUGGAAACUGUGCUGCUGGAGUGUCGGAGAGGCAAGUGGAAUUCCUAGUGUAGCGGUGAAAUGCGUAGAUAUUAGGAGGAACACCAGUGGCGAAGGCGGCUUACUGGACUGUAACUGACGUUGAGGCUCGAAAGCGUGGGGAGCAAACAGG